rnacentral:rRNA from 5 species
CUGACGGAGCAACGCCGCGUGAGUGAUGAAGGUUUUCGGAUCGUAAAGCUCUGUUGUUAGGGAAGAACAAGUGCAAGAGUAACUGCUUGCACCUUGACGGUACCUAACCAGAAAGCCACGGCUAACUACGUGCCAGCAGCCGCGGUAAUACGUAGGUGGCAAGCGUUGUCCGGAAUUAUUGGGCGUAAAGGGCUCGCAGGCGGUUUCUUAAGUCUGAUGUGAAAGCCCCCGGCUCAACCGGGGAGGGUCAUUGGAAACUGGGAAACUUGAGUGCAGAAGAGGAGAGUGGAAUUCCACGUGUAGCGGUGAAAUGCGUAGAGAUGUGGAGGAACACCAGUGGCGAAGGCGACUCUCUGGUCUGUAACUGACGCUGAGGAGCGAAAGCGUGGGGAGCGAACAGGAUUAGAUACCCUGGUAGUCCACGCCGUAAACGAUGAGUGCUAAGUGUUAGGGGGUUUCCGCCCCUUAGUGCUGCAGCUAACGCAUUAAGCACUCCGCCUGGGGAGUACGGUCGCAAGACUGAAACUCAAAGGAAUUGACGGGGGCCCGCACAAGCGGUGGAGCAUGUGGUUUAAUUCGAAGCAACGCGAAGAACCUUACCAGGUCUUGACAUCCUCUGACAACCCUAGAGAUAGGGCUUUCCCUUCGGGGACAGAGUGACAGGUGGUGCAUGGUUGUCGUCAGCUCGUGUCGUGAGAUGUUGGGUUAAGUCCCGCAACGAGCGCAACCCUUGAUCUUAGUUGCCAGCAUUUAGUUGGGCACUCUAAGGUGACUGCCGGUGACAAACCGGAGGAAGGUGG